rnacentral:rRNA from 1 species
CCGGAAAUCUCACCGGGGGCGACAGCGAUAUGAAGGUCAGGCUGAAGACCUUACCCGAUUAGCUGAGAGGUGGUGCAUGGCCGUCGUCAGUUCGUACUGUGAAGCAUCCUGUUAAGUCAGGCAACGAGCGAGACCCACAUCCACAGUUGCCAGCAUAUUCUCCGGAAUGAUGGGUACACUGUGGAGACCGCCGCUGCUAAAGCGGAGGAAGGAGUGGGCAACGGUAGGUCAGUAUGCCCCGAAUCUCCCGGGCUACACGCGGGCUACAAUGGUUGGUACAAUGGGCAUCUACCCCGAAAGGGGAAGGUAAUCUCUUAAAACCAAUCGUAGUUCGGAUUGAGGGCUGCAACUCGCCCUCAUGAAGCUGGAAUCCGUAGUAAUCGCGUUUCAACAGAACGCGGUGAAUACGUCCCUGCUCCUUGCACACACCGCCCGUCAAACCACCCGAGUAGGGUCUGGAUGAGGGUGUGUUAUUUUGACACAUUCGAAUCCGGGCUUUGCAAGGGGGGUU